rnacentral:rRNA from 1 species
GUCGAGCGGACUUGAUGAAGAGCUUGCUCUCCAUGAGAGUUAGCGUGCGGACGGGUGAGUAACACGUAGGCAACCUGCCCUCUGGACUGGGAUAACUACCGGAAACGGUAGCUAAUACCAGAUAAUUCACUUCUUCGCAUGGAGAAGUGAGGAAAGACGGAGCAAUCUGUCACCGGAGGAUGGGCCUGCGGCGCAUUAGCUAGUUGGAGAGGUAACGGCUCCCCAAGGCGACGAUGCGUAGCCGACCUGAGAGGGUGAGCGGCCACACUGGGACUGAGACACGGCCCAGACUCCUACGGGAGGCAGCAGUAGGGAAUCUUCCGCAAGGGGCGAAGGCCUGACGGAGCAACGCCGCGGGAGUGAGGAAGGUUUUCGGAUC